AGGAAUAUUGGACAAUGGGCGAGAGCCUGAUCCAGCCAUGCCGCGUGCAGGAAGACUGCCCUAUGGGUUGUAAACUGCUUUUAUACAGGAAGAAUAAGGGGCACGUGUGCCCUGAUGACGGUACUGUAUGAAUAAGCAUCGGCUAACUCCGCGCCAGCAGCCGCGGUAAUACGGAGGAUGCAAGCGUUAUCCGGAAUCAUUGGGUUUAAAGGGUCCGUAGGCGGGAUGUUAAGUCAGGGGUGAAAGUUUGCAGCUCAACUGUAAAAUUGCCUUUGAUACUGGCGUUCGUGAAUUAUUGUGAAGUGGUUAGAAUGUGUAGUGUAGCGGUGAAAUGCAUAGAUAUUACACAGAAUACCGAUUGCGAAGGCAGAUCACUAACAAUACAUUGACGCUGAUGGACGAAAGCGUGGGGAGCG
rnacentral:rRNA from 1 species